rnacentral:rRNA from 1 species
GAUGAACGCUGGCGGCGUGCCUAAUACAUGCAAGUCGAGCGAACAGACGAGGAGCUUGCUCCUCUGACGUUAGCGGCGGACGGGUGAGUAACGCGUGGAUAACCUACCUAUAAGACUGGGAUAACUUCGGGAAACCGGAGCUAAUACCGGAUAAUAUAUUGAACCGCAUGGUUCAAUAGUGAAAGACGGUUUUGCUGUCACUUAUAGAUGUAUCCGCGCCGCAUUAGCUAGUUGGUAAGGUAACGGCUUACCAAGGCAACGAUGCGUAGCCGACCUGAGAGGGUGAUCGGCCACACUGGAACUGAGACACGGUCCAGACUCCUACGGGAGGCAGCAGUAGGGAAUCUUCCGCAAUGGGCGAAAGCCUGACGGAGCAACGCCGCGUGAGUGAUGAAGGUCUUCGGAUCGUAAAACUCUGUUAUUAGGGAAGAACAAAUGUGUAAGUAACUAUGCACGUCUUGACGGUACCUAAUCAGAAAGCCACGGCUAACUACGUG